UACAUUCAACAUGGAGCUCAAACCCAUGAUCCUGGGAUCAAGAGUAGUGUGCUCUAUCAGCCGAGCCAGCCAGGUGCCCUUCUUGGGUAUUCUUAGUGUGACAAGCUCCCUAUCUAUCUUUUAAGAUCUUUCUCUGUAAUACUCUGACUCUUCCAAAGUUAAUUAUCCAGGGCUUCUGUAGCAUACUAUUGAUGUGUAUAAAAGCACUUGGCCCAUUCUAUUAUAAUUUAUUUGCUAAGUGCCUGUAUCUCUUACUAGACUGAGCUUAUCAAGGACAGGACUGUGUCUGUCCUACUUCAUCUCUGUAGUACCUGGCACACAGCAGUUACUCAACAAACCUUUAUUGUUUAUGUAAUGAGCUAACAAACAUAUUAACCAAAUGGAGCCUGAGACAGGAACUGAGCAGCUGCCCCAGCCUCUGUCCUUGUCUUGGUCAUGAUCACAGGGAUGGUCCUACUGCCCCUGGGAUCCUUCUUACCCUGUGAUAUCAUGACAUGAUCUGCUUUCUGGAAUGUAGGCCCCUGAUGUCUAGCUCUUACCAAUGGUCUUUUUGAGCUGGGGGAGUUUGAAGCGGGUACCAUGUAAACCUUAAUCUUCCUAGCUGGGUCCCCAAGACAAGACUUGUAAGUACUGUAUCCAGAACAGUCUCCCUCAUGACUGGGCUCGCCUAGAGAAUACCACAAAUCGGCCUCAUAUGAAAGGGACACAGAGCAAUCUUGUGAAGCCCUCUGAGUGGAGGUCAGUGCUGCCCACUGUGGCUGGGGCCCUCCUGAAGUUGCUGAGGUUGCAUAGCAGAAUUGUUGGCUCUAAUUGAAUCCUUGUAGCUUGGAAGCUAAAACUCCCAUCUCUGCAGUGGCAUGGAAUGGACCCUCAGAAGGACAUAGAAGUGGUCCUACAAAAGUGCACAUAGCAGGACUCGAGCAGUAAGCCAAGAAGUCUUCGAGAAGACAGUCUUUUACUGUUGUGAAGCACCUCUGGAUGUCCUCCCAAGGAAGAGAGAAUAAUAAUUAUUAUUAUUUAAAAAAAUAAUACCUGGGAGCAAUGUAAACCCCCCCCCUUUUUUUGUAAAACAGGAACAUGUAUCCAGGGAUGAUGCUUUUUGAUGCUCUUUUUUGAUCAAUAAACUUACUGUCUUGAAUUUAUUUUAUUGCUAGACCCAUGCCUGGGCUGGGGGAUUGACAGAACUUUGUGAUGUUGAGCUAAAAUUUGCUUGCCUAAGGCCUAGGGAUUUGGAGCGCACCCACCUUAUUUACAAAUGAACCCUCUUAUUUGAAGCCUUGGCAAGAGUAACAACCUUUAGGAUCGAGGCUGCGUGGGACUUGUAGGACAUGUCGUCCUGCCCUCUUGUUUGUAUAUAACGGUAGCUUUGCCAUAACAAGCCACCCUUUAGAGACUUCCCAGUGGAGGAAGUGUCCUUUUCCACCGUGGGGUAGAAUUACUGCUCCUGCUUUUUUCUAAAAGUUUCAUUUUUCCUCCAAGUAAAGGCAUGUUUGUUUUAGC